ensembl:lncRNA
ACAAAGAUGCAUAACUCGUCUUGCUGGAACUGCAGAACAUUCAUUAAAUGGAAAAAUGAAAAUUCCUUUGGUGCUUAAAGGUACUGGCAGUUCAAAUGAGUAUAGAAUGAGGGGUUUUCCUUAAAAGUGAGAUUUUUGGCUCUGAUCUAAUACUAGACCAGAAUACCAGAUUCCAUUAAUGUCUUUGACAAAAUAAUAAGAAACCCCAGAAAUGAGAGAUGCUUUUGGUUUUGAUAGAAACCAAACAUCCCUUCUUUAUUAAUCUUCUGUUGGUGGUGAGUUAACAGGUUUUUACUCCUAGACUAUUCAAAGGUUUUGAGCAGAGGAUUACUUAAAAUAUAUGCAGCAGAGGGUGAAUUUAUUAAAAAUAUUAAGAUAAUUCUGUUUUAUAUGGGUACCCUUUUGGGAGGGAGAAGGAGAGAAAAUGGAACCCUUCCAGGUAGCACUAGCAAUGUCUAUACUAUGCAUGCCAUAAGGCAACUUGUUUUUCAGGGAAUGAAAUCAUCUGAGACCUCGAUUGACAAAACUUCCCAGUGUAGAUGGUUAAGAACUGCUGAUGGGCAGAUUAAAAUUUUAUUAUUGUGAUUUCACGGUAAUAUUUCACAAGUUCUAAUGAGUAUCCUGCAUGCCCCUUUGAAGUGCACCUUGAGUUUAUUUUAAAUAGAAUCUGUGUUAGAAUAAACCUCGGAAAGUUUUCAAAAUAUUUAUGUGGCCAUAACUAGUAAGUUUAGGGAAGAAUGUGAAGCAGUUAAUAAAAGCUGCACAAGCUGUUGCAAGAAGAUUACUUCAGACUGAAAGAGCACAAUCGUUACAGAACUAUUCCUUGUUUAGGUAUAAAUGAUGAAGAAAAGUUACAUCCAGACUUUUUUCACACACCUGUCUGGUGCUGUAUUGCUCGUUUGCGUCAAGUGCCUUAUCCAGAGUACAACAGAUGGGUCUUUGAAUUUGGUUAUCUGCUUAAAUGAUCCAAAAGGGGAAAAUGCGAUCUGCAGCCCUCCAGAAUGGCACUGGAUGUUCUGCUGUAUAUCUGUGCAUGGCAAUGUUUCCUUGAUGAAAGUACUGACUGUAGUGAAAUAACAAUGUCAAGGAGAAAAUUAUGUAAAAAUGAGUUCUUGACAAUGUAUGUUAUGGAUUUCUCAGUUACAUGAAACUGUAAACAGGACGUGGUCCUUAAAGCUUGCUGUUGAGGCUGUUUUCUGUUUUGACAGUGCUGUCUUGUGUUUACUAGCAAAUUGAGCUUAGUAAUAUGACAAAGGGAUGGAUAUACAAUUUAUAGCUAAAAUUUAUUAAAGCUUGGCAUGCUAAACUCAUUUCUUGGAAAGUGGUAAAAGAGAAGCAAUGUUAGCAGUUACUAAGGAGGUAGUCUGACUACAUUUGAGCAAUAUUUAAUUUGCAUCUUUGAAUUCUGUAGUAAAAAGGUUGAGUAGUCUUCCUUGCAGAUUAUGUUAACUUAAGUCGUAGCACCAAAGGGCUUCAUGAAAACUAAUUACUCAUGUAGAAGAAAAGGAAAGCCACCCAGAGUUUCUGAUACUUCAUUUGUCUUGAAAAGAGCACAGGGAAGACUGCACCAGUGCCUGUAAGGGGAGACAUGAAAUCUUGGCUUAUAUUUUGCGAAUUGGACUUAAUUCCAGUAAAAUUUGGAGGUUUUACUAUCUUCUUGGAUUGGGAGGGUCAGUAUCUAGUGUUGGGAAUCAGUAGUUGAAUGAUACUAUGUCUGUGAGUAUAAUAAAUAAAAUAAAUAAAUUGGAAAAAAAAAAAAAAGCCCUUUAUGACUUGGGUCCCAAGCAAGAUGCUGUGUUGUCCUAAUAAUUGAUCCUCGAAGUUAAAAUCAAAGAUGCUAUCAAGAAAUGAACUGUAGCUGUUCAUCAUCUCUUCCUAAAACCUUUAUUGGGCAAAAGGUACCAAGUACAAGGCUAAGCUUCAGGUAGUCUGGCCAAUAUGUUUUGUUUUAUUUGUAACCUUAUUGUGCUUUGGUUUUGUUGCCCUUAAGAGCAAUGGAAAAUGACUCAUUGUAAUCAAUGCCUGGUAAUGGGAAAACUUGAAAACUGAUGUCUUCGGGUCACUCUCUUGUGUGCAGUGAAUUCAUAUCUACUGGUCUUACAAACUUUAUUUUCCACUGAGUAAGAGCUGGGUAUAUGUCUGUCAAAUUUUAUUGUGGUUUUGCACUUUAUUCAAGUUACCUGACUAGCGAAAGAUGAGUUUCUCUUAAGGAUUUCUAAUACAGCAGUUAAUAUUGCAAAAUGCUAUUAGAAAAUUUCUGCUGUGAAUGUGAGUUAUAAUUGAUACAAUAAUGUUAACAUACAGAAAACCAAUCUAAUAAAAUAAAACUUUGUAUAUUUGUUAAUGAAGCAAAGAAA